CGGAGGAAAAGAAACUAACAAGGAUUCCCCUAGUAACGGCGAGUGAAGAGGGAAGAGCCCAAGAUUGAAAGCUGGCGCCUUCGGCGUCCGCAUUGUAAUCUCAAGAAGUGUUUUCCGCUUCGGACCAUGCCUAAGUCCCUUGGAAAAGGGCAUCAUAGAGGGUGAUAAUCCCGUACAUGGCAUGGAGCGCCCGAAGCUUUGUGAUACGCUUUCUAAGAGUCGAGUUGUUUGGGAAUGCAGCUCAAAAUGGGUGGUAAAUGCCAUCUAAGGCUAAAUAUUGGGGAGAGACCGAUAGCGAACAAGUACAGUGAUGGAAAGAUGAAAAGAACUUUGAAAAGAGAGUUAAACAGUACGUGAAAUUGCCAAAAGGGAAGGGUAGGAGGUCAGAGAUGCGGCCUGGGAUUCAGCCUUGCUUUUGCUUGGUGUUUUUCCCAGGUUGCAGGCCAACGUCGGUUUUGGGCACUGGAGAAGGGUGGAAGGAACGUGGCACUCUUCGGGGUGUGUUAUAGCCUUCCACUGGAUACAGCGACCGAGACCGAGGAACGCAGCGUACUCGUAAGAGCGGGCCUUUUGGCACCUUUACGCUUAGGGCGUUGGCAUAAUGGCCCUCUACCACCCGU
rnacentral:rRNA from 1 species